UACGGAGGAUGCGAGCGUUAUCCGGAAUCAUUGGGUUUAAAGGGUGCGUAGGCUGGUAUUUAAGUCAGUGGUGAAAUUUUCGUGCUUAACAUGAGAGCUGCCAUUGAUACUGGAUACCUUGAGUGUAUUUGAUGUGGGCGGAAUGUGUUGUGUAGCGGUGAAAUGCAUAGAUAUGACACAGAACACCGAUAGCGAAGGCAGCUCACAAAGUUACAACUGACGCUGAUGCACGAAAGCGUGGGGAGCAAACAGG
rnacentral:rRNA from 1 species